UAUACUUUAGUAUAUGAUGUACAUUAAUUUUUGAUAUUAAUAGAAAUAGUU
rnacentral:tRNA from 1 species